rnacentral:rRNA from 1 species
CUGACGCCUGACCUGCCGGAAGACGUGCUCGCCGACGUCCUCCGCCGCGUCCCGCCGCGCUAGGUCGCUGCCUCCCACUGCGUCUGCAGGGCCUGGCGCGAAGUGGUCGACGCCCACCGCCUCAUGCGCGCCGACCUUCUCCCGCUCUCGUUCGCCGGCCUUUUCAUGCACUUCAACGCGCACAAGUAUCCCGAGUUC